CUCAAGGGUUGGGUAAUCCAAAAACUUAUUGUCAUUUCCAAAGAAUGACUCACUGAAAUAUUGGAGACUGAAAAGCAAUGUCAACAGUGAUAUGUCAAUACAAUAUGUGAAUCAAUCAGAGUCACUAUCUUGAUCAUUUCAGUCCGAUUUGUUGCAGACAACAUGAAACUUUAGAAAAUUUCACAAGCCGUUAUCAAACUCAUGUCACAAAAAUGGUAAAGGACACGUGUGACAACUGAAUGGUUUUCAAUUUGUAAAGUUUUUGGCCAGGGGUGGGUAUUUAUUUUUUAAUUGAUAUUUGAGGUUGGGUAAUCAAAUUUUUGACUUUUUAAUGGUUGGGUCAGCAAAAUUUUUGCC